rnacentral:rRNA from 1 species
UUAUGCGUUAGCUGCAGCACUAAAGGGCGGAACCCCCUAACACUUAGCACUCAUCGUUUACGGCGUGGACUACCAGGGUAUCUAAUCCUGUUCGCUCCCCACGCUUUCGCUCCUCAGCGUCAGUUACAGACCAGAGAGUCGCCUUCGCCACUGGUGUUCCUCCACAUCUCUACGCAUUUCACCGCUACACGUGGAAUUCCACUCUCCUCUUCUGCACUCAAGUUUCCCAGUUUCCAAUGACCCUCCCCGGUUGAGCCGGGGGCUUUCACAUCAGACUUAAGAAACCGCCUGCGAGCCCUUUACGCCCAAUAAUUCCGGACAACGCUUGCCACCUACGUAUUACCGCGGCUGCUGGCACGUAGUUAGCCGUGGCUUUCUGGUUAGGUACCGUCAAGGUGCA